rnacentral:lncRNA from 1 species
GGCCGCAAAGGGGGCCGUCGGGUCCACGUGCUCUCACACCCAAAGGCCAGGGCGACCAAGUGCUGCAGCAGGUCAGACGCCAAAACCAAAGCCCCAGCGGGGUGAGAGGCCCAGGCAGAGACCGGCGGGACCCAGCAGCUGGCACCUGACCUGAGACAUAGCCCCCUACUCCUGCGCUUCUUGUCGAGGCUUCUUUGCAGGAAAACAUGAAGUUUGAGAGCAACAGAUGAACCCUCUGGUCUGAGAAUUUGCAACUCUAACAACUUCUUACAAUUCUAAUAAGUUCCCUGGUGAUGCUGCUGGAAUCACACUACGAGAGAGGCCAUAGGACGAAGAUUCUCAAACCUUAGCAGGCACCUGAAUCAUCUGGACGGCUCGUGAACACACAGGCUGCUCAGCCUCACUCCAGAGUAUCUGAUUCAGCAGGCUGGGGACAGGCUUAAGUUUUUGCAUUUCUAACCAGUUUCCAGGUGAUGCUGAUGUUGCUGACCAAUAUAAAACUGAACACAAAGAAGUUAAAAAAUCUUCCUGAGUGCAAAAAACUUUGAGAUAAGCGUUGCUAACUGCAGCUGUGCAUAUUCAGAAUAAUCAACUUUGUUUAAAACUAACCGGGUCUUUCUGUCCCUCCUUAGUAUAUGAGUGAGCUGUCUUUCCCAGGAAGUCAAGGUCCAGACGUCAAGAUUCAGCCUCACAAGGUCAAAUGCAGGCUGAAGAUGAAAACUAACCGGAAAAGUCCAGACAAGGGAAAAGAAAUUCAGUCUUCAAAGACAAACACAGGCUGGUGGGAAGGCGCCAACCAGCAUGGCCACGUGCUUCCCCUCCCCUACCUAAAACCCAAGCACAUGCUCCCCUCCCCUCCCUACAACCCCAGAUAAACACCCCUACCUUUUUCCCUUCGAGGAGGUGGAUCUGAGUUCUAACUCCCAUCUCCUUAUCUGGCUGCCUUUUGAUAUUAAACCUCUUUCCUUGCUUCAAGCCUGGUGUUUCAGAUUUUUUGCUUGAUUGGCCCUACUGUGUGGCAGGUGUGUUUGGGUCUGGUAGCAAAUACUUGCUGCCCAUCUUUACUCCCAACUUAGCUGGUUUCUACUGCAUCUCCA